CAGCAGGAUUUAGACUACAAUAUAGCUGUUAAGUGCUAUUUUGUCGUUCCCCCUGCUCAAAGUAAAGUUGUUUCUUAACUAUCCCUGUCUGCUAGUUUCUUGUAGCAGCCCAGGGACGCUUGGUCUCAUACAU
ensembl:snoRNA SNORA63 Small nucleolar RNA SNORA63